CUCAGGAAUGUCCCUGAGAUGGCUCAUGGCUGAGUCGCUGAGCGGCCGUGACUCAGCCAGUUUCCGCCCUGGCUGUCUGUCUGUCCGUCAGUCGGUCUGUCUGGGAGUCUGCCUCCUCCGAGGGCACUGGUGGGAGAUUCCAGUCAGCCGUGUUCCCGCUGGGAAGUGGAAAGCUCAGGAAGAAAUUCAAACACAUCUCUCCGUUACACUUCACUGUAACCCGGUGUUUCUUUAUGAUCGAAGCCAGUGCUCAACAUCAGACAUUGGACGAAGAGGAAGGUAGUGCUGAGGAGCCCAAUAGAUUGCUGUCCUGAGAUUCAUAUUCCAGUGGAGAGCAGGGAAAACAGAAGGUACAAACUGCCAGUUUUCUAAGCUGUAGACAAAGACUGGAAGAGUUAUUUUUCAUCACGAAACAGAGUACAAUAUAACCAACCUUCACAACAUGUAAGAAAAUGAUCAAGUGAGGAGAGAGAGAGCCUGAGAAGAGGGAAAAAGUAGAAGGCAGUCAUAACCUGCACAUCUCAUGGAACAGGCAGUCAAAAGCAAGAGACUAUUGCCUAUGGAGUAAAGACAGACAUGUCGGAAAUAAUUUAUAACUCAAGGAAAGCUAAAGGAGUAGCAAGAAGUAGUAGGUGUCUCCCUCUCAAUGGGAAUGGACACUCAGAGUGAGUUAGCUGCUGUGUGGGGUCUAUUCUUCCCUGUACCCUUCCAUCAACACAAAAC
rnacentral:lncRNA from 1 species